rnacentral:rRNA from 1 species
GUUUCCUGUUGCCAUCAGGUAAAGCUGGGCACUCUGGAGAGACUGCCGGUGACAAACCGGAGGAAGGUGGGGAUGACGUCAAGUCAGCAUGGCCUUUAUGUCCAGGGCUACACACGUGCUACAAUGGCCGAUACAAAGCGUCGCAAACUCGCGAGGGUGAGCUAAUCGCAUAAAGUCGGUCUCAGUUCGGAUUGUAGGCUGCAACUCGCCUGCAUGAAGUCGGAAUCGCUAGUAAUCGCGGAUCAGCAUGCCGCGGUGAAUACGUUCCCGGGCCUUGUAAAACACCGCCCGUCACAUCACGAAAGCUGGCUGUACUAGAGGUCGGGUGUGUUAACCCGCAAGGGGGACAGGUGCUUAAGGUAUG